UACGAAGGGUGCAAGCGUUACUCGGAAUUACUGGGCGUAAAGCGUGCGUAGGCGGUUUGUUAAGUCUGAUGUGAAAGCCCUGGGCUCAACCUGGGAAUUGCAUUGGAUACUGGCAGGCUAGAGUGCGGUAGAGGAUGGCGGAAUUCCCGGUGUAGCAGUGAAAUGCGUAGAGAUCGGGAGGAACAUCUGUGGCGAAGGCGGCCAUCUGGACCAGCACUGACGCUGAGGCGCGAAAGCGUGGGGAGCAAACAGG
rnacentral:rRNA from 1 species